rnacentral:lncRNA from 10 species
CAUGUGCAGGCAUGGAGACUGCCCGGCCCCUUCCUGUCCUGUUGGGGCAUGAUUUUCAACAGAGGGAGGAUUCUGGGCAUGUUUUCCUUUGGAAGUCUCACCAGGCUGAGCAGGACUUAGAGGAACUCCGGCUACGUUUGCUGUCCCAACAAAUAGACCAGGGUUCCCUAAGUGUCGCUUCCUCCAAGAAGCCCUCCCUGAUGAGUUGAGCCACUUUAGUUUGUGCUCAGGCUCACCCUGCACGUCUUGGUUGCUCUCAUCACUGUAAUGAUCUAAAACACACGUCUGCUCAUGAGACCCGCAUCCCACCCCCGAUGCUGGGGCCGCUCUUGGAUUUUCAUGCCUGCUGCCAGCACCCAGGGGGAGCUCCGGAAAUGUCUGCUGGGGGCUCGGAAUACCCACCUUUCUGGUAAUGCAGCCCAGCGGGUCCCAGCCUCGUUUUCCAGCCCUCACUCAAAAUGGAGUCGCUCUGGUUCGAACGCCUCUGACAAGUGUGUACCUACGUGUCAGGGAGCCUGCUCACAUGACCGUGUGGAGAAAGUUCUUUCCCUGAGGACCAUCUGGAGUGGACGCGUGCACUACCCCUCUCUGAAUACACCCUCCCCACGAGGCCCUCUGGAGCAUCCUGUAGAGCCAGCCCCUACCCAGAGACCCUGAGCCCAGAGAAUGCGCUGGGUGGUGAGCCUGGGGACGAAUGCAGAGCCCUAGGUCUCCUCUCCAGAAAGACCGGAUUUUGCCAUGUUGGCCAGGCUGGUCUUGAACUCCUGACCUCAAGUGAUCCACCUGCCUCGGCCUCCCAAAGUGCAGGGAUUACAGGUGUGAGCCACUGCACCCGGCCUCAGGCAGGUAUUUUUACCAGCCGAAUACUCUUGCACUGUGCACUCUUCGUGUUCAUCAUCAGUCCCCCGGAUGGGUGUUUAAGGCAUUUCCAAAGCUCUGUUAUUAAAAACACGAUGCAAUGAGUUUCUUUCAGCAUUUCCCCUUGUUGCCGUGUGAAUGCGUCCGUGGUAUAACUUCCUAAAAGUGGAAUCGCUUGGUCAAAGGGUGGGUGCAUUUAGCAACCUGAUGGCUUUCCAGGAGACAAGUGCUGCCUCCCGGCCACGAGCUUUUAAGAAGAACUGUUGAUGGAACCCGAGCUGGAGUCCCAGGGACCGGGGCGAGUUCUCCAUCCCAGGGGAUUUUCAGAUGGGACACUGGGGAGAAGCUGCCCUGCCCAUCUGAACUCUAUGAUCCCAGUACUAACACUGGUAGCUGUGCCAUCCCCAGUAUAGAGACAGCACCGUGCUCUUGGGAGGGUGAGUCAUUGGCCCCCG